GAGACUCUGUGCGCGUGCAUAUCAAUAAGCGGAGGAAAAGAAACUAACAAGGAUUCCCUUAGUAACGGCGAGUGAAGCGGGAAGAGCUCAAAUUUGAAAUCUUCAAGGUUUUACCUUGACGAAUUGUAGUUUAAAGAAGUGUUUUCUGUUGAAGUUUUGGUAAAAGUUCUUUGGAAUAGGACAUCAUAGAGGGUGAGAAUCCCGUAUUUGACCAUUAUUUUCAGCUGUGUGAUACACUUUCAAAGAGUCGGAUUGUUUGGGAAUGCAGUCCAAAAUGGGUGGUAAAUUUCAUCUAAAGCUAAAUAUUGGCGAGAGACCGAUAGCGAACAAGUACCGUGAGGGAAAGAUGAAAAGAACUUUGAAAAGAGAGUUAAACAGUACGUGAAAUUGUCAAAAGGGAAACGUUUGACACCAGUGUUGUUUUCUCGAAAAUCAAUUAAAAAGAGUUGGAUUUUGUGUUGUAUUGACCUUAACAGCUUUCUUCACUCUUUUCCUGCUUUUUUUAAUGCACUUUUCGUUUAACAAGUCAACAUCAGUUUCUUUUGUUGUAAAAGGGUCAUUGGAAGGUGGCUUUCUUUUCGGAGAAAGUGUUUAUAGCCUUUGAUCUCUGCAAUCGGAGAGACUGAGGUCUGCAGCGUAGAUCCUUCGGGGUUAGAUACAUUUGCGCCAAGUUAUAACUUUUCAUAGACAACUUGUUGACUAUGUUUAGUCAUGUAGCUUAGCUCGCUUAGUGCUAUUUUACCUACGCUUAGGAUGUUGAAUCUGUGCGAGACUAC
rnacentral:rRNA from 1 species